UACGUAGGGGGCAAGCGUUGUCCGGAUUUAUUGGGCGUAAAGAGCGUGUAGGCGGCCAUACAGGUCAGCUGUGAAAACUCGAGGCUCAACCUCGAGACGUCGGUUGAAACCGUAUGGCUAGAGUCCGGAAGAGGAGAGUGGAGUUCCCGGUGUAGCGGUGAAAUGCGCAGAUAUCGGGAAGAACACCCGUGGCGAAGGCGGCUCUCUGGGACGGUACUGACGCUGAGACGCGAAAGCGUGGGGAGCGAACAGG
rnacentral:rRNA from 1 species